rnacentral:rRNA from 1 species
UACAGAGGUCUCAAGCGUUGUUCGGAUUCAUUGGGCGUAAAGGGUGCGUAGGCGGCGCGGUAAGUCGGGUGUGAAAUCUUGGAGCUUAACUCCGAAACUGCAUUUGAUACUGCCGUGCUUGAGGACUGGAGAGGAGACUGGAAUUUACGGUGUAGCAGUGAAAUGCGUAGAGAUCGUAAGGAAGACCAGUGGCGAAGGCGGGUCUCUGGACAGUUCCUGACACUGAGGCACGAAGGCCAGGGGAGCAAACGGG